CACGUAGGGUGCGAGCGUUGUCCGGAAUUAUUGGGCGUAAAGAGCUCGUAGGCGGUGUGUCGCGUCGGCCGUGAAAACCUGCAGCUUAACUGUGGGCGUGCGGUCGAUACGGGCAUCACUGGAGUUCGGCAGGGGAGACUGGAAUUCCUGGUGUAGCGGUGAAAUGCGCAGAUAUCAGGAGGAACACCGGUGGCGAAGGCGGGUCUCUGGGCCGAUACUGACGCUGAGGAGCGAAAGCGUGGGGAGCGAACAGG
rnacentral:rRNA from 2 species